rnacentral:rRNA from 1 species
AUUGAACGCUUGCGGCAGUCUUAACACAUUCAAGUCGAUCGAGCGGCUUACGGGUUAGUAAUGUCUGUUAAAGUUCCUGAUGGAGGUAUAUAACUACGGGAAACGGUAGCUAAUACCGCAUAGCAUCAGAUGUGCCCAGAUGGGAUUAGCUAGUAGGUGGGGUAAUGGCUUACCUCGGCGACGAUCCCUAGCUGGUCUGAGAGGAUGCACCGCCCAACUGGAACUGAGACACGGUCCAGACUCCUACGGGAGGCAGCAGUGGGGAAUAGUGCACAAUGGGCGCAAGCCUGAUGCAGCCAUGCCGCGUGUGUGAAGAAGGCCUUCGGGUUGUAAAGCACUUUCAGCGAGGAGGCGUUACUCGCAGAAGAAGCACCGGCUAACUCCGUGCCAGCCGCCGCGGUAAUUC